rnacentral:misc_RNA from 1 species
GAGUUUUGCUCCUUGAGACAUUGAGAGGCUGGGGUGUCAUUCCCUACACUAUAUCUCCAUUGUCUGAAAUGGAUUCUGCACCAUGUGAUCAUAGAUCUGAACAGCACUCAUCUUUCCUUUUGGAUAUCUACUCAACUGAGAUGAAUGAAGCAAACAUGGAUGAUAAUGCUGUUGUGAACAAGAAGUCUCAUCUCAAAGUUGUGGAAGUAGUAAGAUUCUUAAAGGACCUAGAAGCCCUCAUUUCUAAGCUAAAUCCAACUAUUGAACGAUGCUUUAGGAUUCACCAUAAAUUAGCAGAGAGUCUAGCCCUUGUUUGUGCAGAAAGUUUCGUGUACUCAAGAUGCUUAAGUUUGGUUGCUGAGAAAGUUCCAGUUUCUGAAGGCAGUGAAGAGGGAAUUCUGCUCAAGAUGGAAAGUAUUUCAGAUUUCACUGAUUUUUGGAAAAUCAGUCUUGAAGGACUUGCAGAAAUGAUUCUAUUGCUUCAGAAGAACCACUUGUGGGAGCUUGCUUCUGUGA